GUAGUACUCCCUCCGUCCGAAAAUACUUGUCAUCAAAAUAGAUAAAAAGAGAUGUAUCUAGAACUAAAAUACGUCUAGAUACAUCCCCUUCUAUCCAUUUUGAUGACAAGUAUUAUCGGACGGAGGGAGUACUAA
rnacentral:pre_miRNA from 1 species